AUAGCACGAAGUAAAAGACCGGUGCGGAUAGGAAGCCCAAAGAAUAAGAAUUAUGUUAAAACUAGUUUAAGUAAACCUGAGAUUAACCUAGUUUUCCAACUUAGAAAGAAAAUCAGAAAAAUUGAGGUAGAGAAGAGGUAGAGGCAGCCGCCCAUAGGAAGGAGAAGAAAGGAUUUCAACAGCAGCUAGGAUCAAAGAAAGAAUUCAUCAAAACUUAAGAUUUUCAGGUAUAGGGUGAACCUUAAAUUUCGCGGUGAAAUCCUUUACUCAUACUUGAGGUUGACAUGUAGACGUCUCUUCUGAUACUAGUAACAUGGGGGAAAAUUCAUCUAGUUUUAUUUUCAACUUCUUUUAUUUCAUAAAUACCUCAUUUGGGAAACUUUGAUGUAUUAUUUUCAUCCAAACGACACUUUAUUCUAUUUCUAAAAUUAUUCAGACAUUAUUAAGAGUUUUUCAGUUUAA